GUGGGGAAUUUUGGACAAUGGGCGCAAGCCUGAUCCAGCAAUGUCGCGUGUGUGAAGAAGGCCUUCGGGUUGUAAAGCACUUUUGGCAGGAAAGAAAUAGUGCGUGCUAAUACCAUGCGCGAAUGACGGUACCUGCAGAAUAAGCACCGGCUAACUACGUGCCAGCAGCCGCGGUAAGACGUAGGGUGCAAGCGUUAAUCGGAAUUACUGGGCGUAAAGCGUGCGCAGGCGGUUUUGUAAGACAGGUGUGAAAUCCCCGGGCUCAACCUGGGAACUGCACUUGUGACUGCAAGGCUAGAGUGUGUCAGAGGGAGGUGGAAUUCCGCGUGUAGCAGUGAAAUGCGUAGAGAUGCGGAGGAACACCGAUGGCGAAGGCAGCCUCCUGGGAUAACACUGACGCUCAGGCACGAAAGCGUGGGGAGCAAACAGGAUUAGAUACCCGGGUAGUCC
rnacentral:rRNA from 1 species